rnacentral:rRNA from 1 species
AGAGUUUGAUCAUGGCUCAGGAUGAACGCUAGCUACAGGCUUAACACAUGCAAGUCGAGGGGCAGCAUGUUGGUUGCUUGCAACCAAUGAUGGCGACCGGCGCACGGGUGAGUAACGCGUAUCCAACCUACCCUUGUCCAUCGGAUAACCCGUCGAGAGGCGGCCUAACACGAUAUGCGGUUCUCAGCAGGCAUCUAACGAGAACGAAAUGUGAAGGAGAAGGAUGGGGAUGCGUCUGAUUAGCUUGUUGGCGGGGUAACGCCACAAGGCGACGAUCAGUAGGGGUCUGAGAGGAAGGUCCCCCANAUUGGAACUGAGACACGGUCCAAACUCCUACGGGAGCA